rnacentral:tRNA from 2 species
ACCUCGUUAGCUCAGAGGCAGAGCGUCCGGCUUUUAACCGGAGGGCCGGGAUGUCGGAAUUCCCACGGGGUACCA